rnacentral:lncRNA from 10 species
UUGGAUCUUCUCUACAAUCAUAGUAGAGCUCAAAAGAACUUUGUUCAGGGUCCAGCUAAUCUGCCCCACAGCUAUUGUUGGAGUGUCAUAUGGGCAUCUCUCUCAUCUCCCAGAUCGAUGGCAUCGUCUAGGACUUCCCACAUAGACAAGAUAAACGAAAGGCUUCCAUGGACAGGGAAGAGAUGAAGAUCCUCAGGGCUGGAGGAGAGAGAGAAGCAGAAUGGUAAAGCAAGAUUGAGGCUAUCGUGAGCAUCCUUCAUAUAAUGCCUUGAACUCAACUCCGGACAAGUCAAGUACCAUGGUGAA